CUAGCAUUCUAAAGAUAGCUGCCUUAACAGCCAUCAGAGACUGGUGAAGGGAAAAAAACACCCUUAUCUUUAGGCGUGUUGCCAAGGUACCUCAGUUGGUAAGUGAGUCCCUGGAGACAUUCUGUGGUGACACUUUUAAUGGGUUAUUUGCGGACAAAAUCUCCUGUAUUCGGGCUGACUUGGACUCCACUAUUUCUGCAAGGUCUAUGAAGAAGGUGUCCAGCAAUUCCUCUUGCAGUAUUAGCUAAUUUCAUAUCCUGGUAUAGCUGACCGUGCAGUUCUGGGACUAGAAGAUGCAUUUCUUGACUGGUUGGUGUCCUUUUCAUAAGCCUGACUUGGUUUAGUCUGGAAUGGACAGUAUAGUUGACUCUGGAGUUCUUAAACAUUUGCUUCGAAGCUGAGGUUCAGAUCUGACUCCUCUUGUGGGAGGAGAAAAUAGCUAACAAACAAGCACAUAUCUAUCAAAGUUCACAUUCUCAAUAAGCAAUCAAUAAUCCAUUACAAAAGGUCUAUGUAUAAAAAGUAGCAGCCAGCAUGAGAGAGACUGCAAACUGCAGAGAUGUGGUAAAUCCAGAUGGAUCCAGCUAAUGUAAACUGUCUUGCCUGUAAACAUCUUUGAAUAUAUUUAAAGUGUGAGUUCAUCAGUUCUGCACACAGAAAUUCCACUCUGAGACUUCGAGAGAAAGUUUGUUUAUUUUGUUUCAUGAAUGCUUGUCAUGUACAUCUGCAGCAUUCAGAAAAAACCACCAGUAACAACAGAGACCCAGUGGCCCAACCAUUGCAUCAGUUCUUUGUUAAAGAAGAAAAAGAAGAAAGGCACACACAGGCAAAAAAGAGUCAAAUAUGCAAUGGCCUCAAAUAGAAAGGUCAUAGAUUAGACCUGAAGGCAGUCAAGGCAGGAAGCAUUUGAACACAGAUGGGGAAAAGGACCUGCCCCCCAUAGUCAUAACCUCAACCAAUCUCAUUGCCUCGGAGGUAUGUAAGUGGUGGAUGGAGACUUUUCCAAAGAGCUGAUGGCAGUAACCUCUGUCUGAUAGUUGGUCAUAGGGUUCUAAUGCUGUCAAGGUCAGUGUCUGAAUCAUGUUCUGAGCACAUUAAUGCACUCCCAUGGAAGCAUAGCUAUAACUUUCCUACUUGCCUUUCAAGAAAAUGGUUUCCCCAUUUUGCUUCAAUCUGUAGUUUGCUGGAUGACACCAUUGCCACUUGUUCCUUCCCUUACAAUUUUCACUACUUUUCUAUCUGGCAGUAUUUUUUAUAACUGAAUGAUAUUGGCUACUGUAUACCUCAUUGAAAUGGAGUUUGUUUUAGGUGUGUGUUUGCAAAUAAAUCUGAAUUUCUGC